AUGAAGGAAAAGAAGCAAGCAAAAAGGAGAAAGAAAAAGAAGAACCGUUCACAUAAAUCUUCUGAAAGCUCCAUGUCAGAAACUGAAUCAGACAGUAAGGAUAGUUUAAAAAAGAAAAGGAAGUCAAAGGAUGCAACUGAGAAAGAAAAGGACAGUAAAGGACUUAGCAAAAAAAGAAAGAUGUAUCCUGAAGAUAAACCUUUAUCAUCUGAGUCCUUAUCCGAAUCAGAUUAUAUUGAAGAGGUACGAGCAAAAAAGAAGAAAAACAGUGAAGAACAAGAAAAAGCAACAGCAAGUAUCUCUUAUGUUUUUAUAUGACAACAGCAGAGUCAUUUGGGUUUAAUAUAAAAUGAGCUGUGCUGAUAAAGCAUGAUUAAAUUUACUGGGACCGAAUAAAUGAUUGGGAAAGGCCUGGUGUUGAGCAGCUUCACAGAGUGGAAAGUCAGACUGGCUUAGGACAUAGGAAGAAUGCUCUGAUAGCAAACAUGAGGUGUCCAUCCCAGGCUCUUACAGUCAGAAAUAAGAGCUCAAACUUUUAUUUGACAUUUUUAAGUUAUAAUAAAGUAUAGCUUAGGUAGACAAACCAAGAAUAAUAGAAAAAAACCUCUUGAAACACUGGCUACAAUGAAAAAGAGACCAGAAAGGAACGACCUAAGACUCAUGAAUACCAAGGGUUCUGUUAAUAGUUUUUUUGUUUUGUUUUGUUUUGGGUACCUGGGAUUGAACUCAGGACUUUGCACUUUUCAGGUAUGCACUGUGCCCCUGAGCUAAAUCCCUGGCCCUUGUUAAUAGUUUUUAAAACCAGCUCCUCCAUUAUGCAAAUUGAGAAAUAGGAAAGGAAAAAGAAGGAAGAGAAGAAGUAAGGACAGUGGAAGCCAUAUCCAAAUGAGAAGCAAACCAACAAAGAAAUCAUUAACAUACUUUGAAAGAGCAGUGCCUGCCCCAUCAGCGGCUUAUGUGAGUGUCCUCUGUCCAUCUGCUGGCUGUGGCCUUUGGCAGCAUCUCUUAGGGAGAGGUGAGAAAAGUGAGGUCAGCAUCAGGAUGGACUUUCCCUAGCUCUUCAGAUUAGGAACCCUCUGAGUUAAGAAGGAGGUUUCACCUGGGAGUGUAUGGCUCAGAACAUUGUAUCUACUUUAAGACCAAGGUGGCAGGAGUCUUGGUUUUUUGUUUUUUCUGAGUAAAUAAUUUGGAUGAAGAAUACUCUGGACUGAUUUGAUUAAUUGUAAGGCCUAACAGGAUUAUUACAUCGUGGAUGAUGUUUUGUUCUUGCACACUUUAAUUGUUGACCUUCACCAGCCAGCACUCAGCAUCUGUGUAGUUCCACACUACACCUAAACAAGAUGGAUGAUGCAGUGGGUCUGAGAGUGACCAGGCCUGUGAGGCUACAGAAACCUUCUGUGAAGGACUGGGCUGUGCCUCAGUGGCAUAGUGCUGCCUAGACUAUGCCAGCCCAGAGUCUAUGCUGGCACCACAGAAGAGUGGGAGGAAAAACACUGUCUGAGGAAGUAAAAUUCAACUGAAGUCUGAUUUACAGGAAAAAACCAGCCAUUGUGAAGCCCAAAAGAAAGAAUAGCCUAGGCAGGGGAAGAGUUAAGGAUAUAUGCUGGGAAGUGCCUAGUGUGUUGGAGGAACUAAAAUGUAAACAUAGCUUGUACCUGGUGUCUAAGGAGGAACAGCAUAUGAUCAGGUCGGGAAGGAAGCGCAGGUCAUACAUAUCAUGUGGCAUUGUGGUUGGGUUUUAACCAGAAUGUUAUGAGAAACUUUGAGGAUUUUAAACAAAGGGGACCUGAAUACUUGACAUUUUUAACAUGCUUUGGGAGAGAUGAGUGGACGCAGGUAAGGAAUGGUAUUGUAUUGUAGCGCUGGUAAUAAAAAUGACAUUGGUGUGGUUGGAUUUGAGACAUGUUUUUGGACCUAGAUGGCAAGACUUGCUAGGUGUUUUGGAUGUGGAGAAUGUAGUUUAAAACAAACAAAAAAACAGAACCAAAGAUAGCCUAGAUUCUUUUGACUUAAGCAAAAUGGCAGAUGGUGUCAUUUACUAAAAUGCCUAAGAAGGAUUUGGAACAAAAAUGAAGCUUGUUCUUACAGUGAUUUUAGAUAUGCUUACUAGACAUCUAGGUAUUUCUUAAAAGAUUCUUAACAGGGAUUUAGCUCAGUGGGAUUGCCCCCUGCCUCAAAAGCACAGGGUCCAGAGUUCUAUCCCCGGUACCAAAAAAAACCAAAACAACAAAAAAAACUCUAGAGUUCAAAACAUAAGACUGAUAUAAGGAUGGGGGAGUCUUUGAUUUUUUUUUUUUUUUUUAUUACAUUUCUUGGGAAUUGUACCUUUACAUAAUGCAUCUUGGUUCUUAUUUUUUCCCCAUUCCUAGCCCUCCCUUCAUGCCCUCAACCCUCCU
rnacentral:lncRNA from 1 species